CAGGUUUAAAAUGCUGUGGCUGCUGAGAACAAUGUGCCUUAUCCAUGUACUUGGAAAAAUAUUUUGCUUAAUUGGACCAAACAAGAAUCCUGAAUCUAACAUGAAUGUUUGAUGGUUACAUUCUUCCAAUUAACCGAAUUCCUCAUGGGAAGAACAAUGCUAAUAGUUCAGCCCCAAAGAUGGUAGUAUUUUGUCUCCCCGGCUUGUUUUCAACUGCUGGUGUAUGGGUUUCCAAUCCUCCUGACAAAUGAUGUGUGGUUGGGAAACAACAGAGGAAGUACCUGGGCAAAAAAACACGUGACCCUCAACCCAGAUUCUAAAGAAUUCUGGGCUUUUAGUUAUGAUGAGAUGAUAAAAUAUGACCUUCCAGCCAUCAUUAAUUUCAUUCUGGAGAAAACAGGACAAAAGCAGAUUUACUAUGCUGGCCAUUCUCAAGGAACCCUAAUCGCUCUGGGGGCAUUUGCAACAAAUCAAGAACUGGCUGAAAAGAUUAAACUCAGCAUUUUAAUAGCUCCAGUUCAUACUGUUAAAUAUGUCAAAGGUUCUGGGCGCCUUCCAGCUUAUUUUACUCCAACAGCUUUCAAGAUUGGUUUUGGUGAAAAAGAAUUUUUCCCUACCAAAGUUUUCAGUAGGCUCUCUCAACAUGUGUGCGAUAUUAAGUUGGUUGAUGCUGGAUGCGCUACUGUACUGGGCUCACUGACUGGAUAUUCUCCAGAGCAAUUAAAUACGAGCCGUGUUGAUGUGUACAUAACACACAGUCUAGCAGAAUCAUCAGUUCAAAUUCUUAUACAUUAUGGUCAGGCAAUUAGAAGUGGUGUAUUUCAGGCUUAUGAUUGGGGAAGUCCAUCUCUGAAUAUGCAGCACACUAUUCCUCCUGUAUACAAUGUGGAAGACAUGAAGGUUCCAACUGCCAUGUUUAGUGGUUUAAAAGAUUUUUUGUCUGACCCAGAAGAUGUUGCAAAUUUGGUACCCAAAAUCUCCAACCUCACAUACCAUAAGAUUAUUUCUGAUUUUAGUCAUCUUGAUUUUAUAACGGGAUUAAAUGCUAGGGAAGAGGUUUCUGAGGAAAUUUUAACAAUUCUUAGGAAAUAUGAUGGUGACAUACAGAUUUAGCUUUUUGCAUGUUUUUAAACGUUUCUGAAAGUCUCUUGCUGUUAUAAGUGCAAAUAUUGUCUUGUUUGGCAUUUUCCUCCUUAAUUAUCUUUUUUUUUUUGAAAGCUAUUGGUUUAUUUGUUGCAGUAGUGAAAUCUAUGACCAUCAAGAGAAUACUUCAUCUUGUGACUGUUUUAAAUUAAUCUAAGUUCAU
rnacentral:lncRNA from 1 species